CACAUUGCACGUUAUAGGUACACAUGUUAAAGAACGAAUAAAUUGUAUAUUUCAUUACAAAGGCAGUUUAAUGCUGCAAUUGAAACUUUUUCAAAAUAUCAUACAUUUCGUCAUGGCCUUGGAAACAAUGGCGUGCUAAAAUGUUUUAAAUGUUUUUAACACGGCCGUAAAAAUAAAAUAUGUUAUCAUUAUUAUAUUACACAUAGGUAUACCGCCCAUACACAUAUUGCAUGAGGAUAAAUUCCCUAUAGGGGGACAAUAAUAAAUUAAGGUUUGUGUAAUAGUAUAAUAUCAUAUACUAAUGAAUAGUUGGCAAGUGCAUUAAUAUAUUAAAAAAGAGCUAGGUACAUUUAUAAGUGUUGAGAUAGUGAGAGACGAAAUAUUAUAAUCGCUAUAAAGCCAUUACAGGUCAUCGGGUGGUCUUAACAGCCGACACAAAUGUUUUAUAGUUUUUAGUUUAUUUUCGUAAUGCGUCAAGUGAGCAAAUACCUGAGUUUUGGUAUCCUAGGAUUUUAGGAUAUUGCAUUUAAUCACUCCACUGUGACGUAAACAAUACAGAACUGAAUGACAUCAAGGAUGAAAGCCGCAACUGGAACCGAGUAUAGGUAAUUUUUUUUAAAACCGUUUCCGGGCCAGCUUUUCCGUUGGAUAUUAAUUAUUGUUAUGAUUCACAAAAUCGUAUGAUAAAUAAAAUAACGUUUAUAUAUAAUUAGAGUUGAGAACUUCUAAGUUCUAGUACUUAAAAAUCUAAAAAUAUGCAUGCACUUGAAAAUGAAGAAAUAUGCGCUUAAAAAAUGCUCUAAAAAUAAUAUUUUAUUUUAUCAUUUUGCCUAAUUAUAAUGCGUAUAUUUAUAUAGAGAAUCACUAAAUUCCGACACAUCACUUUUUAAACGAAAAUCCAAUAAUUGUUUAUUCCUUUGGCGUAUUUGAAAACGAAAAAAAAAAAAUUACUAAAAAAGUUUUGAAUUACCUAUUACGUGAUGAAAAUAUUUCACACAGCGCGUGCAAUGAUAAAACGAGUACGCGCCAAAACAUGACGGACAACUAAAGUUCACUUCCCAUCGGCGUAUUCCCGGCGUGGUCAGAUAGUAAAUUACCUAACCGAUAGUAAAAAUAAUAUUUUUAAAUCGAAAAUUUACAAAUAUUUUGUUCUUUUUCGUCUAAGCUAGUUGAAAAGAGCUUAUUUCGAAAGUCGCCAAAUACAUGUUCUUAAUUUUUGUUAUACACCCAAAUGCGCAUUAAUAUAUGCAAAAUAAAAUUUUAAAUUCGAGCGCCUGCACGUUUGUCGAUCACUAGAAUUUCUCUACGAUCUUUCUGGAAAAAAAAAUAUGAAAAAACCAAAAGUCUUCGACCCUAUAUUAUAAUAUUGUAAUACAUAUUAUGGUCUAAUUAUUAUAAUAAUUAUAAUAAAUUAUUGCAGUUAUUAAAACAACGACGA